rnacentral:rRNA from 1 species
CCUAUGGGGGGCAGCAGGCGCGAAACCUCCGCAAUGUGAGCAAUCGCGACGGGGGGAUCCCAAGUGCCAUUCUUAACGGGAUGGCUUUUCUUAAGUGUAAAGAGCUUUUGGAAUAAGAGCUGGGCAAGACCGGUGCCAGCCGCCGCGGUAACACCGGCAGCUCUAGUGGUAGCUGUUUUUAUUGGGCCUAAAGCGUUCGUAGCCGGUUUAAUAAGUCUUUGGUGAAAUCCUGUAGCUUAACUAUGGGAAUUGCUGAGGAUACUGUUAGGCUUGAGGUCGGGAGAGGUUAGCGGUACUCCCAGGGUAGGGGUGAAAUCCUGUAAUCCUGGGAGGACCACCUGUGGCGAAGGCGGCUAACUGGAACGAACCUGACGGUGAGGGACGAAAGCUAGGGGCGCGAACCGGAUUAGAUACCCCCGUAGUCC